rnacentral:rRNA from 1 species
UGGGGAAUAUUGGACAAUGGGGGCAACCCUGAUCCAGCCAUGCCGCGUGAGUGAUGAAGGCCUUAGGGUUGUAAAGCUCUUUUGGCAGGGACGAUAAUGCCGGUACCUGCAGAAUAAGCCCCGGCUAACUUCGUGCCAGCAGCCGCGGUAAUACGAAGGGGGCUAGCGUUGUUCGGAAUUACUGGGCGUAAAGCGCGCGUAGGCGGACUGGUCAGUUGGGGGUGAAAUCCCGAGGCUUAACCUCGGAACUGCCUUCAAAACUGCCAGUCUUGAGUCCGGGAGAGGUGAGCGGAAUUCCUAGUGUAGAGGUGAAAUUCGUAGAUAUUAGGAAGAACACCAGUGGCGAAGGCGGCUCACUGGCCCGGUACUGACGCUGAGGUGCGAAAGCGUGGGGAGCAAACAGGAUUAGAUACCCGCGUAGUCC